rnacentral:rRNA from 1 species
UGUUGCUUGCAAGGGCGUAUGGUGGAUGCCUUGGCAGACAGGACCGAUGAAGGACGUUUGAGGCUGCGAUAUGCCUCGGGGAGCCGCCAACAGGGCUUUGAUCCGAGGAUUUCCGAAUGGGGGAACCCACCGACCGUCAUGGGUCGGUACCGGCUUCGGCCGGGGGGUACGCAGGGAAGUGAAACAUCUCAGUACCUGCAGGAAAGGAUAUUCCGUGAGUAGUGGCGAGCGAAAGCGGAUGAUGGCCAAACCUUGCGCGUGUGAUACCCGUCGGGGGUUGCGCGCGGGGUGUUGCGGGAUCGCGUGCGCCGGCUCCGACGGGCCGGCCGGCAGUUGCAGAAAACCAUGUGUCAGGGGAACCGGGUUGAAUACCGGGCCGCAGAGGG